ensembl:lncRNA
AUGAGUUCAGUGAUCCCCCUGCUCCCCAACACCCUCUUCCCUGUCAUAUUCACUAUCCGUAUAUCUUCCAGCCGCAGCCUGGAGGAACAUCACACAGUCUCACACAGUCUCACACAGUCUCACACAGUCUCACACAGUCUCACACACACAACACACACACACACACACACACACACACACACACACACACACACACACACACACACACACACACACACACACACACACACACACACACACACACACACACAACACACACACACACAAAUCCAUCAUCAAAACGACCUGCUGGUAAAAACAUUUUGUCCCCCAGUCUACAAUAAGAUAACAGAAAAACGCUUUGGUUCCUUUUGUUUCUGUUGUGGUAUCUCCCUCUGUUGUUUCAUCUCCCUCUGUUGUUUCAUCUCCAUCUGUUGUUUAUGUUGUGGUAUCUCCCUCUGUUGUUUCUGUUGUGGUAUCUCCCCCUGUUGUUUCUGUUGUGGUAUCUCCCUCUGUUGUUUCUGUUGUUUCAUCUCCCUCUGUUGUUUCUGUUGUGGUAUCUCCCUCUGUUGUUUCUGUUGUGGUAUCUCCCUCUGUUGUUUCUGUUGUGGUAUCUCCCUCUGUUGUUUCUGUUGUUUCAUCUCCCUCUGUUGUUUCUGUUGUGGUAUCUCCCUCUGUUGUUUCAUCUCCCUCUGUUGUUUCAUCUCCCUCUGUUGUUUCUGUUGUGGUAUCUCCCUCUGUUGUUUCAUCUCCCUCUGUUGUUUCUGUUGUGGUAUCUCCCUCUGUUGUUUCUGUUGUGGUAUCUCCCUCUGUUGUUUCUGUUGUGGUAUCUCCCUCUGUUGUUUCAUCUCCCUCUGUUGUUUCUGUUGUGGUAUCUCCCUCUGUUGUUUAUGUUGUUUCAUCUCCCUCUGUUGUUUCUGUUGUGGUAUCUCCCUCUGUUGUUUAUGUUGUUUCAUCUCCCUCUGUUGUUUCAUCUCCCUCUGUUGUUUCAUCUCCAUCUGUUGUUUAUGUUGUGGUAUCUCCCUCUGUUGUUUCUGUUGUGGUAUCUCCCCCUGUUGUUUCUGUUGUAGUAUCUCCCUCUGUUGUUUCAUCUCCCUCUGUUGUUUCAUCUCCCUCUGUUGUUUCUGUUGUGGUAUCUCCCUCUGUUGUUUCUGUUGUGGUAUCUCCCUCUGUUGUUUCUGUUGUUUCAUCUCCCUCUGUUGUUUCUGUUGUGGUAUCUCCCCCUGUUGUUUCAUCUCCCUCUGUUGUUUCUGUUGUGGUAUCUCCCUCUGUUGUUUCUGUUGUGGUAUCUCCCUCUGUUGUUUCAUCUCCCUCUGUUGUUUCUGUUGUGGUAUCUCCCUCUGUUGUUUCUGUUGUGGUAUCUCCCUCUGUUGUUUCUGUUGUGGUAUCUCCCUCUGUUGUUUCAUCUCCCUCUGUUGUUUCAUCUCCCUCUGUUGUUUCUGUUGUGGUAUCUCCCUCUGUUGUUUCAUCUCCCUCUGUUGUUUCUGUUGUGGUAUCUCCCUCUGUUGUUUCUGUUGUGGUAUCUCCCUCUGUUGUUUCAUCUCCCUCUGUUGUUUCUGUUGUGGUAUCUCCCUCUGUUGUUUCUGUUGUGGUAUCUCCCUCUGUUGUUGGGUCUGUUUUGUGGCGAUGCGUAUCUGCCCGCUCUCACCUGAGGAUCACCCUCUUAUUUCUCCUUCACCACUUUAUUAA